AUUGGAUCAUGGAUGCGCUAAUGGACGACACGGAUGACAAGGAAAGUGCCAUCGUACAUCCUCUGGGUGUCUUGAGGAGCUGGUCUUUGGAUAAUGCUGAGCAGGUCUUUCUUUCUGGUAAAGAUUAUCAUUACAGUGAAGUAAAAGAAUUUAACAGACAGAUUGACAAACAACUGACGAAAGAAGAGAGACGAUUCAAUAGAGGCCUCUAGAGAUCGUGACCUGUGAAGAGAUGAUGCCACCAUAGAGGACUUCUAAAUGUAUCCAUAAUCCUGAAACAGACCGUAUCAUGAGCAGAUGCUGUGGUGGUCAUGGAGAAGUGGAGAGCAUGAGACUGAUUAAUGAAAGACCCCAGUGACAGAUGAGUGCCCACAUUGACCCUGUGGUCCAGCCUGAAAA
rnacentral:lncRNA from 1 species